rnacentral:rRNA from 1 species
UACGUAGGGGGCAAGCGUUGUCCGGAUUUAUUGGGCGUAAAGAGCGUGUAGGCGGCUUUACAGGUCCGUUGUGAAAACUCGAGGCUCAACCUCGAGACGCCGGUGGAAACCGUAAAGCUAGAGUCCGGAAGAGAAGAGUGGAAUUCCACGUGUAGCGGUGAAAUGCGUAGAGAUGUGGAGGAACACCAGUGGCGAAGGCGACUCUUUGGUCUGUAACUGACGCUGAGGCGCGAAAGCGUGGGGAGCGAACAGG